rnacentral:rRNA from 1 species
AUUGAACGCUGGCGGCAGGCUUAACACAUGCAAGUCGAGCGGAGAGAGGUAGCUUGCUACUGAUCUUAGCGGCGGACGGGUGAGUAAUGCUUAGGAAUCUGCCUAUUAGUGGGGGACAACAUUUCGAAAGGAAUGCUAAUACCGCAUACGUCCUACGGGAGAAAGCAGGGGAUCUUCGGACCUUGCGCUAAUAGAUGAGCCUAAGUCGGAUUAGCUAGUUGGUGGGGUAAAGGCCUACCAAGGCGACGAUCUGUAGCGGGUCUGAGAGGAUGAUCCGCCACACUGGGAUUGAGACACGGCCCAGACUCCUACGGGAGGCAGCAGUGGGGAAUAUUGGACAAUGGGCGCAAGCCUGAUCCAGUCAUGCCGCGUGUGUGAAGAAGGCCUUAUGGUUGUAAAGCACUUUAAGCGAGGAGGAGGCUACUUUAGUUAAUACCUAGAGAUAGUGGACGUUACUCGCAGAAUAAGCACCGGCUAACUCUGUGCCAGCCGCCGCGGUAACAC